UACAGAGACUGCAAGCGUUAUUCGGAUUCACUGGGCGUAAAGGGUGCGCAGGCGGCCGGGUGUGUCAGGUGUGAAAGCCCGAGGCUUAACCUCGGAAUUGCGCCUGAAACUGCUCGGCUAGAGCAUUGGAGAGGGUAGCGGAAUUCACGGUGUAGCAGUGAAAUGCGUAGAUAUCGUGAGGAACACCAGAGGCGAAGGCGGCUACCUGGACAAUUGCUGACGCUCAGGCACGAAAGCGUGGGGAG
rnacentral:rRNA from 1 species